UGACAUCAGUUAACGUUCACAUAGCCCAGUAUGCCCCUUGAUUGAGACAACUGUGUGAGUGAGGCCAAGGGAGGAGGAGCCCAAGGCUCACACAAGGGGCUUGGCUGGCCCGGGGUCAUCCAGCUAGCCCCAGUCAAGGCUCUUUGGGGCAACAAACGGUUUGUGAUCAGUCUCCUAAAAUGCAGCCAUGGCUUUCCGGUGAGAACUGAGCCCUUUGUAGAGCUAAUGAGCAUUUAUUUCCUUUGUGGCCCGGCAUAGUCACACCCACCACCGAAAACCUUCUACCAUUAAAGAGAAAUACCUGCCACUGAUCGGAUCAUCCUGGCAGAGAGAAGCCUCCUGCAUUCAACUGUGGAGUUUGAUUUCACUCAGAGGACGACGAUCUCAGCGUUGGACAGGACCGUGGAGUCCAGCCUGUGCCUGAGAUGAAAACUUCAGGGGUUUCCGUGUUUAUUCGUCUGGAGAAUGAUUAAAUCGAACACAUUUGUUCAGCACCAGCUCUGUCUCUGUCCUCAGGGAGCUUGUAACGCGAUAAUCAAGUUCCUACCAUGGAGAGCAGAGAGGGGGAGAGAGGAGAGGAACAAGAGAAGAAAACAGAUCUUGUUACCUGAUCCCCUACGGAUCUGUGACAUCAGUUGCUGGAAGCUGUCAAUUUCCAGGAUGACUCAUUUGGAGCACUGAAGCACUGAGGAAUGUCGGAUCAUAAGGAUUUUCUGAUCUUUUAAAA